rfam:Schistosoma mansoni strain Puerto Rico chromosome 3, complete genome
AACUUUUGGAAUCUGUGCAAAGAUUUCGUCAGACACCAACCCAUUAGGACUGAUCAGGCUUCCAAGAUAAGUGAAGCU